rnacentral:rRNA from 1 species
UACGUAGGGUGCGAGCGUUGUCCGGAAUUACUGGGCGUAAAGAGCUCGUAGGUGGUUUGUCGCGUUGUCCGUGAAAACUCACAGCUCAACUGUGGGCGUGCGGGCGAUACGGGCAGACUGGAGUACUGCAGGGGAGACUGGAAUUCCUGGUGUAGCGGUGGAAUGCGCAGAUAUCAGGAGGAACACCGGUGGCGAAGGCGGGUCUCUGGGCCGAUAUUGACGCUGAGGAGCGAAAGCGUGGGGAGCAAACAGG